rnacentral:rRNA from 1 species
GACGAACGCUGGCGGCGUGCUUAACACAUGCAAGUCGAACGGAAAGGCCCUGCUUUUGUGGGGUGCUCGAGUGGCGAACGGGUGAGUAACACGAGAGUAACCUGCCCUUGACUUUGGGAUAACUUCAGGAAACUGGGGCUAAUACCGGGUAGGAGCUCCUGCUGCAUGGUGGGGGUUGGAAAGUUUCGGCGGUUGGGGAUGGACUCGCGGCUUAUCAGCUUGUUGGUGGGGUAGUGGCUUACCAAGGCUUUGACGGGUAGCCGGCCUGAGAGGGUGACCGGCCACAUUGGGACUGAGAUACGGCCCAGACUCCUACGGGAGGCAGCAGUGGGGAAUAUUGCACAAUGGGCGGAAGCCUGAUGCAGCAACGCCGCGUGCGGGAUGACGGCCUUCGGGUUGUAAACCGCUUUCGCCUGUGACGAAGCGUGAGUGACGGUAAUGGGUAAAGAAGCACCGGCUAACUACGUG